ACGGGAGGCAGCAGUGGGGAAUUUUCCGCAAUGGGCGAAAGCCUGACGGAGCAACGCCGCGUGAGGGAGGAAGGUCUUUGGAUUGUAAACCUCUUUUCUCAAGGAAGAAGUUCUGACGGUACUUGAGGAAUCAGCCUCGGCUAACUCCGUGCCAGCAGCCGCGGUAAUACGGGGGAGGCAAGCGUUAUCCGGAAUUAUUGGGCGUAAAGCGUCCGCAGGUGGUCAGCCAAGUCUGCCGUCAAAUCAGGUUGCUUAACGACCUAAAGGCGGUGGAAACUGGCAGACUAGAGAGCAGUAGGGGUAGCAGGAAUUCCUAGUGUAGCGGUGAAAUGCGUAGAGAUUGGGAAGAACAUCGGUGGCGAAAGCGUGCUACUGGGCUGUAUCUGACACUCAGGGACGAAAGCUAGGGGAGCGAAAGGGAUUAGAUACCCCUGUAGUCCUAGCCGUAAACGAUGGAUACUAGGCGUGGCUUGUAUCGACCCGAGCCGUGCCGAAGCUAACGCGUUAAGUAUCCCGCCUGGGGAGUACGCACGCAAGUGUGAAACUCAAAGGAAUUGACGG
rnacentral:rRNA from 1 species